GCCCCGGUGGGUGGUGUACUAGUAGAGCACGCGACCCCGGCAUGGAUGAAAUGCGGGUUCGAUUCCCGCCUGGGGCC